rnacentral:rRNA from 1 species
CACGGGGGGAGCAAGCGUUGUCCGGAUUUACUGGGCGUAAAGAGCGUGUAGGCGGAGUGGUUAGUCAGUGGUGAAAUCCCCGAGCUUAACUCGGGGCGUGCUUCUGAUACUGCCACUCUUGAGUGCGGAAGAGGGAAGUGGAAUUCCUGGUGUAGCGGUGAAAUGCGUAGAUAUCAGGAAGAACACCAGUAGCGAAGGCGGCUUCCUGGUCCGCAACUGACGCUGAGACGCGAAAGCGUGGGGAGCAAACAGGAUUAGAUACCCCCGUA